GGUGCAGCGGCUGUCGCGGGGCCAGAACGCGACAAUCGGUCGUCCCAAUAUACAUCGCAGUUUACGGCUACCUUUGCUUGAACUUACCCGUUAACCUCCUCGCUUACUACUGUGACACUAAAGUUGCGUCAUAGGUAGCGCAGCGACAACUUGUUCUGCUUCUACUACGACCAGUGUACGGUCUGCGUAAGACAUACAGCUCCCGAGAAAUAUGUAUAUAUAGAAGCAAUUGUGAAAUUCUUGAGUGUCUUGAAGUUGCAAUUGCCGCUGUUAGCAUGGAUCGGGUUAAGGUAGGAGUUCUAGUAGGCCUGCUAUUCUUCUUGUCCUGCGUGACCAGCUCAUCCAACGCUAAGAAAAGCUCAAUGCAGGCACGACAGAUGCAUGCAAGACUGCUACGACAAAGCAAAAGAUGCAUAUGACGUUAGAGGAAACUGCUACAAUUUGACAUGUGUAUGUCAGUACACACCACCGUGCACUCUGAAGACGUGCUACCGUUUGUGCAAGAGACAACAAGCAGGCAAGGACAGGCUCGGCCUCCAGGCAAUAUGCGUUCGAUCAGACUGCAACUGCGACUGGGGUGACAAAUGCGAGAGAUGG
rnacentral:lncRNA from 1 species